rnacentral:lncRNA from 1 species
UGCUUUUUGAAACAAUUCUGUUGUGUGUCACCAAAACGUCAGAAAUGACAAGCGUCAUCCUAUAUCAUACAAGUUUUAAUCACAAUAACGUAUUCUCCAAGGAUGCUAUUGUAUAAUAUGCUGACAACAAACGAUUUGUAAGACUACUGAGAAGUCCCAAUUCCAUUAAACGGAAAGAAAUGCGUAAAUUACAGACAAUUGGAUAAAACAAUGUUUUCCAUUGAUCUGGG